UAGGGAAUCUUCGGCAAUGGGGGGAACCCUGACCGAGCAACGCCGCGUGAGUGAAGAAGGUUUUCGGAUCGUAAAGCUCUGUUGUUAAGGAAGAACGAGUGUGAGAAUGGAAAGUUCAUACUGUGACGGUACUUAACCAGAAAGGGACGGCUAACUACGUGCCAGCAGCCGCGGUAAUACGUAGGUCCCGAGCGUUGUCCGGAUUUAUUGGGCGUAAAGCGAGCGCAGGCGGUUAGAUAAGUCUGAAGUUAAAGGCAGUGGCUCAACCAUUGUAGGCUUUGGAAACUGUUUAACUUGAUUGCAGAAGGGGAGAGUGGAAUUCCAUGUGUAGCGGUGACAUGCGUAGAUAUAUGGAGAAACACCGGUGGCGAAAGCGGCUCUCUAGUCUGUAACUGACGCUGAGGCUCGAAAGCGUGGGGAGCGAACAGG
rnacentral:rRNA from 1 species